rnacentral:rRNA from 1 species
CUACGUGCCAGCAGCCGCGGUAAUACGGAAGGUCCAGGCGUUAUCCGGAUUUAUUGGGUUUAAAGGGAGCGUAGGCGGAUUGUUAAGUCAGCGGUUAAAGGGUGUGGCUCAACCAUACAUUGCCGUUGAAACUGGCGAUCUUGAGUGCAGACAGGGAUGCCGGAAUUCGUGGUGUAGCGGUGAAAUGCUUAGAUAUCACGAAGAACUCCGAUUGCGAAGGCAGCAUACGGGAGUGUAACUGACGCGUAAGCUCGAAGGUGCGGGUAUCGAACAGGAUUAGAUACCCUGGUAGUCCGCACAGUAAACGAUGGAUGCCCGCUGUUAGCGCCUGGCGUUAGCGGCUAAGCGAAAGCAUUAAGCAUCCCACCUGGGGAGUACGCCGGCAACGGUGAAACUCAAAGGAAUUGACGGGGGCCCGCACAAGCGGAGGAACAUGUGGUUUAAUUCGAUGAUACGCGAGGAACCUUACCCGGGCU